GUGACCUCGGAUCAGUAGGAAACCCCAAAC
rnacentral:rRNA from 1 species